UACGUAGGGGGCAAGCGUUGUCCGGAUUUAUUGGGCGUAAAGAGCGUGUAGGCGGCCAGGUAGGUCUGCUGUGAAAACUCGAGGCUUAACCUCGAGCUGUCGGCGGAAACCAUCUGGCUAGAGUCCGGAAGAGGAGAAUGGAAUUCCCGGUGUAGCGGUGAAAUGCGCAGAUAUCCGGAGGAAUACCAAAGGCGAAGGCAGUGUCCUGGCUGGUAACUGACGCUCAGGUGCGAAAGCUAGGGGAGCGAACAGG
rnacentral:rRNA from 1 species